UACGAAGGGGGCUAGCGUUGUUCGGAUUUACUGGGCGUAAAGCGCCCGUAGGCGGAUUGUUAAGUGAGGGGUGAAAUCCCAGGGCUCAACCCUGGAACUGCCUUUCAUACUGGCAAUCUCGAGUCCGGAAGAGGUGAGUGGAACUCCUAGUGUAGAGGUGGAAUUCGUAGAUAUUAGGAAGAACAUCAGUGGCGAAGGCGGGUCUCUGGGCCGAUACUGACGCUGAGGAGCGAAAGCGUGGGGAGCGAACAGG
rnacentral:rRNA from 1 species